rnacentral:rRNA from 1 species
AGUCAUACGGGAGUUUUGAACUCCAGUGGCGGACGGGUGAGUAACACGUAAGUAAUUUGCCUUUAGGAGGGGGAUAAGCUGGAGACAGUAAGUAAUACCCCAUAUGCUUUCGAGUGAAAUGAAUUGUUUCGCCUAGAGAGAAGCUUGCGGCUGAUUAGCUUGUUGGUAGGGUAAUGGCCCACCAAGGCGACGAUCAGUAUCUGGUUUGAGAGGACGAUCAGACACACUGGGACUGAGACACGGUCCAGACUCCUACGGGAGGCAGCAGUGGGGAAUUUUCCGCAAUGGGCGAAAGCCUGACGGAGCAAUACCGCGUGAGGGAUGACGGCCUAUGGGUUGUAAACCUCUUUUUUCAGGGAGGAAACAAAUGACGUUACCUGAAGAAUAAGCAUCGGCUAACUCCGUGCCAGCAGCCGCGGUAAGACGGAGGAUGCAAGUGUUAUCCGGAAUCACUGGGCGUAAAGCGUCUGUAGGUGGUUGAAUAAGUCAACUGUUAAAUCUUGAGGCUCAACCUCAAAACCGCAGUCGAAACUAUUGAACUAGAGUCUAGUAGGGGUAAAGGGAAUUUCCAGUGGAGCGGUGAAAUGCGUAGAGAUUGGAAAGAACACCGAUGGCGAAGGCACUUUACUGGGCUAUGACUAACACUGAGAGACGAAAGCUAGGGUAGCAAAUGGGAUUAGAUACCCCAGUAGUCCUAGCUGUAAACCAUGGAUACUAGAUGUUGAACAGUUCGACCUGUGCAGUAUCAAAGCUAACGCGUUAAGUAUCC